rnacentral:lncRNA from 1 species
AUGGUAAUGAUCUGUAAAAUGAAUCCCAAACAACUAAUAAUUUCUGUUUUCCCUAUAGAUGUUCAAAUCACAAAGUGCUCAAGUCAUAUGCUUCAUGAUAUUAUAUGCUUCGUGGGUCUUGACUGUCUUUGCUGGGAUGGAGCUCCACUCGAGGGAGAUGCACUCUUCUUUAAUUUUCAGUCUUUUUUUUUUUUCACUGUAUUUUCAGGAGGAACUGCCUUUCCACGGCUCAAUUAUUCUGGAGCAUUGCUCGCUCUCAUUUCCUGCUCCUCUGAAUUUCCUUGGAAUGAACAGCCUUUGAAGUCCAUGAGACUCACUGAAUCUGGAGAUCUGCAGCGCCAACGGUCUCAGUUCAAACGGCGUUCCUCCAGCCAGUUCUUCAGAGAAACACCACCACGGAGGACGCUUUCCUUUUCGUUGUUUGAGUGGAGAAUCCAAGAAAUUGUGGACGUCUUCAGCUAUUUUUUGCAACUUCUUCUAGCUUUAUGAAGGUGGUGGUGUAAGGAGACCGCGUGUUGGUUCUGGGCUUCAGCUCGGCUUCAGCUCGACUUCAGGAGAGGUGACUGCUUGGGAG